rnacentral:lncRNA from 1 species
CCCCCCCCAGGCUGGCCCCCUUCGCCCCCGGCCUCCCCUGGGCGCUGCCCCUGGGCUCGGCGCCCGACCCCGACCUCGACUUCUCCCUGCCCAAGGCGGCCGCCUUCUACCUGCGGGCGGGGGCCGUGUGAGUGACCUCUGACCCCGUGUGACCCCUGACAUCUGACCCCCAGUGAUCCCUGACCUCUGACCCCAGCAGCCCAGCCACGCCCCUUCCAUGUGUCUGCCUGGGCAUCGUGGCCCCGUGGCCGUUUGGCCCCACGUGGCUUUAUGGCCUCGUGUCCCUGAAUCCCAAUGGCCCCACGUGUCCCCGUGUCCCUUUGUCCCCGUGUCCCCAAAUCCCCAUGUCCCCAUACCCCAUGGCCACAUGUCCCCCAAAUCCCGAUGUCCCCACGUGUCCCCAUACCCCAUGGCCACACGUCCCCAUGUCCCACAGCCACGUGUCCUCACAUCCCGGUGUCCCCAUGUCCCAUAUGUCCCCUUAUCCCCGUGUCCCCAUGCCUGACGGCCACGUGUCCCCCUUUUCCCAUGUCCCCAUGCCACGUGUCCCCAUGUCCCUUUAUCCUCGUGUCCCUGUGCCUGUUUGUCCCCAUGGUCUCAUGUCCCCAAGCCCCAUGGCCAAGUGUCCCCGUGCCACAUGUCCCUUUAUCCCAAUGUCCCCAUGUCCCUUUGUCCCCGUGUCCGUGUGUCCCUUUAUCCCCAUGUCACCACGUCCCAUGUCCCUUUAUCCUCGUGUCCCUGUGCCACGUGUCCGCAUGUCCCCAAGCCCCAAAACUGUGUCCCUUUGUCCCCGUGUCCCUUUGUCCCCGUGUCCCUUUGUCCCCAUGCCACGUGCCUCAUGUCCCUUUGUCCCCAUGUCCCCACGCCCAUGAGCCCCAAAACUACGUGUCCCCGUGCCCCACGUCCCUUUAUCCCCGUGUCCCCGUGCUACAUGUCCAUGCGUCCCUUUGUCCCCAUGUCCGUGUGCCCCCGUGCCAUGUGUCCCUGUGUCCCCAGGAACCUGGAGACGAAGCUCAAGGGCUUCCUGGACCGCCCGAUGUCCUGGGAGAGCAUCGAGGCCAUCACGCGCGUCUUCUGCUUCUACCGCACGCCCGUCACCGAGUACGUGGUGCGGCACUGGCGGGACGACGCCUUUUUCGGGGAGCAGUACCUGAGCGGGGUGAACCCCGUCCUGCUGCGCCGCUGCCCCCGCCUGCCCCCC